UUUUCCCUGCUUCUCAAAAGAAAAUUUUCAAAACCUUUCUCAAAACUCUCUCCUUUCCUUCCAUUAUCUGGCCAAUGCUCCGGCGCCGGUCCGCCACCCUACACGACGGCCGGAGCUUCAACUUUUUGACCGAUCUUGUCUCCUUAACCCCGAUUUAAAACCCAAAACUUUAGAAAAAGCCUUUUAAAAAUAAAAUAAAACAAAUAAACCCUCGAUUUCCUUCCCUAAUCUCAAGAAAGGUACAGAGGAGGACGUCGAUGUACGGGGGUGGUACGGCGGCGCUGACGUGGCGAGGUGGAGCAGGGGGUGCGGCGGCUAGGGCAAAGAGGCUAGGGUUUUUUUGUGCUGAAAAUGUUUACAAUUUUGGGCCAUUUGGGCCUCCUAGGGUUUUUAGGAAAUUUGAGUUUCUAUUUUUUUUGUUUUUGGGCUUGUAAUGGGUUUAAUUGAUUUAGGCCUGAUGUAAAUGGACUUUGACUUGGACCUUUUAAUUUAUUUGGUUUUAUUUAUUGUUUUUGGUUUCUAUUUAUUGUUUUUGUUUUUGUAUGGGCCCGGGCAGAUUUGGGCAUGUACAAAUUUCAUAUUAAAACAAGUGAGAGUUUUGCCAACAA